AGUGAACGCUGGCGGUAGGCCUAACACAUGCAAGUCGAACGGCAGCACAGUAAGAGCUUGCUCUUACGGGUGGCGAGUGGCGGACGGGUGAGGAAUACAUCGGAAUCUACUUUUUCGUGGGGGAUAACGUAGGGAAACUUACGCUAAUACCGCAUACGACCUACGGGUGAAAGCAGGGGAUAUUCGGACCUUGCGCGAUUGAAUGAGCCGAUGUCGGAUUAGCUGGUUGGCGGGGUAAAGGCCCACCAAGGCGACGAUCCGUAGCUGGUCUGAGAGGAUGGUCGCCCACACUGGAACUGAGACACGGUCCAGACUCCUACGAGAGGCAGCAGUGGGGAAUAUUGGGCAAUGGGCGCAAGCCUGAUCCAGCCAUACCGCGUGGGUGAAGAAGGCCUUCGGGUUGUAAAGCCCUUUUGUUGGGAAAGAAAAGCAGCAGGUUAAUACCCCGCUGUUCUGACGGUACCCAAAGAAUAAGCACCGGCUAACUUCGUG
rnacentral:rRNA from 1 species